rnacentral:rRNA from 1 species
GUUUGAUCCUGGCUCAGGAUGAACGCUGGCGGCGUGCCUAAUACAUGCAAGUCGAACGCGCAGCGAAAGGUGCUUGCACCUUUCAAGCGAGUGGCGAACGGGUGAGUAACACGUGGAUAACCUGCCUCAAGGCUGGGGAUAACAUUUGGAAACAGAUGCUAAUACCGAAUAAAACUUAGUAUCGCAUGAUACAAAGUUGAAAGGCGCUACGGCGUCACCUAGAGAUGGGUCCGCGGUGCAUUAGUUAGUUGGUGGGGUAAAGGCCUACCAAGACAAUGAUGCAUAGCCGAGUUGAGAGACUGAUCGGCCACAUUGGGACUGAGACACGGCCCAAACUCCUACGGGAGGCUGCAGUAGGGAAUCUUCCACAAUGGGCGAAAGCCUGAUGGAGCAACGCCGCGUGUGUGAUGAAGGCUUUAGGGUCGUAAAGCACUGUUGUAUGGGAAGAAAUGCUAGAAUAGGGAAUGAUUCUAGUUCGACGGUACCAUACCAGAAAGGGACGGCUAAAUACGUGCCAGCAGCCGCGGUAAUACGUAUGUCCCGAGCGUUAUCCGGAUUUAUUGGGCGUAAAGCGAGCGCAGACGGUUGAUUAAGUCUGAUGUGAAAGCCCGGAGCUCAACUCCGGAAUGGCAUUGGAAACUGGUUAACUUGAGUGUUGUAGAGGUAAGUGGAACUCCAUGUGUAGCGGUGGAAUGCGUAGAUAUAUGGAAGAACACCAGUGGCGAAGGCGGCUUACUGGACAACAACUGACGUUGAGGCUCGAAAGUGUGGGUAGCAAACAGGAUUAGAUACCCUGGUAGUCCACACCGUAAACGAUGAAUACUAGGUGUUAGGAGGUUUCCGCCUCUUAGUGCCGAAGCUAACGCAUUAAGUAUUCCGCCUGGGGAGUACGACCGCAAGGUUGAAACUCAAAGGAAUUGACGGGGACCCGCACAAGCGGUGGAGCAUGUGGUUUAAUUCGAAGCAACGCGAAGAACCUUACCAGGUCUUGACAUCCUUUGAAGCUUCUAGAGAUAGAAGUGUUCUCUUCGGAGACAAAGUGACAGGUGGUGCAUGGUCGUCGUCAGCUCGUGUCGUGAGAUGUUGGGUUAAGUCCCGCAACGAGCGCAACCCUUAUUGUUAGUUGCCAG